GCGGAGAAACGCCGGGAGCGGGGCCGGGCAGCGGGCAGGGCGCUGAUCGCGGGGUCCGCGGGAGGCGGCAGCAGGGUGUCCGCGACUCGGCUCGGCGCAGCCGGGCGGACAGCUCCCACCAUGGACGCCUAGCUAAUUUAUUAAUCGAGCAGAGCUACUGCAGAUGGGUUGCAGGCUGCAAUUCCAGGGCAGAGGAAGGUUCUAUGCAACUCUGCGAGUUACCCAGCAAAUCACAAUCCUGCAAUAAGAUCCCAAGCACGUUGGCUGCUCUAUCAAUAACUGCCGUACUGAGCACAAAUAUUUUAUGUUAAUUCAUAGUGAUGGUGUAUUUGGCUGAUGGGUUGCACUUCUUUUGUCUUACUUUUCCUGUUACUCUCCUGGGUUUUUUUCCAGGGCAAAGGUGUAAAUGAAAAAGGCAUCUGAAAUGCCUGGAGGUAGCUGUAGUCUUUCUCUUCCAUCUCUUUUCUGUUUUUUCUUUUUAAGAAAGAAAAGGAGAGAGAAAAUAAAAUUGAAGGAAUAUGUCUAUCUACCUUCUGUCUAAUACCAAAUGUUUGAUUUCCCCCUCCCUUCUCUUGUUACAUCCAGAGAUGGCUGCUGCAAGCAUAAAGCACCUUUCCCAGUACAUGCAAGAUGCUCACAGAUUUUCCACAAACUCAGGAGAAACCUCAUUUAUUUUCUGCUUGUGGUUCACAGGAGCACUUAGCUUUUUAGUGGUUGACACUAUAUCUAUUUUUAGCAUCAUUUUAACAGCUGUCACUAACAGCUAAGAUCUCAUCUUGAAUGGGGAAGGGAGAUUAUCUGUUUUAUUUAAGAAAAUCAAACUACAUAAUUGUCAGAUUGUAAAACAUGAUUUGGAUCUUUAUCUGUGAAGAGAAAAAGCUAUCUUCUCCCAUUGCACCAAUUCCAUUUAAAAAAAAAAAAUAAGGGGGAAAGGGGGACCUACAGUGGGCUUGAUAAAAUAACAAAUGAGCUUUGCAAGGUUUGGAAAUAAUGCUGUUCAAAGGCACAUUUCCAAAUCCAUUAAAAGCAGUCCCAUUACUGCCUUCUGCAGCUGUGUCGUGAUGGGGGAAACCACAAAGAGUCCAGUCGUACUUUUCCAAGUAGGUCAAGAGGAGCAGCACAGACACCUCUGACGGGCAAUUCUCUCCCUUCACGUUAGAUUUUCUGAGAGGUUAACUCAUGUCAGACACAUGACACUGAAAGCAGCAGACAGACAAGCGUAAGCCACUCUGUAGCAGAUGUCAUUUCUGCGCCUAAAGAUAGUGGUAAAUUUGCCAUGGAUCAUGCAUUACAAAGCGAGGUAGGACUGAAACUCUGCAAGUGUCAAAUUUUACCUCCUCCCAUUCUUCAUAAAGCCAGGAAAUGGUAUUAGGGCUGCAGGAGCAAUGAUGUAGUGUAAAAGCAGCCUACUGUACCGUCUUACUUAGAGGUCAUGUGCCCUAUUUUGAGAACUGAACCAAAGCGGAUGAAGUUUUGAGUCGCUUCCAACUAAGGCAGCUGGGCAUUUCCCACUCCUCUCCAGCUCCAGCCCAGGAAAGCAGGCAGUCACAUGGCCACAUAUAUUAUUCUUUCACCUGGUAUUAUUCACUGUAGAUUUAAUUUUUAUGCCAUUUGGCUCACGUGGCUUUGAUUAUUCAAGAAUUAAAGCUGAUCAGGAGGAGCUGCAUUUUGGGAAGACACUGGAAAAACAUUGGGGAUGGCAGAUGAGAGUUUACUUUCCCUGUCCAACAGGUGUGAGAAUUCCGAGAGAGGAGUCCACAGUCUCACCAGUUAAAUGUGUCAGAGCUAGCUUCCCGAGCCAUGCUGAAAGCCUUUAGAGUCCUUUGCAAGACCUGGGAAAAUGAUGGUUCUAUUUCCUAAUAAUGGACUGCUACUGUCUGUUCAGAAAGUUGCUUUUGAAGACCAGCUGUGACACACAUUUUUAAUCGAUUGACCUUGGCUAAGAGGAUUGAGAAACUUAAGGAAAGAAAAACAUUCUCCUGUCACCUGCAAAACCUUACUAUACGAUGAUGAACUGCCAGUCACACAGGAAAAGAAAAUCAGACAGACAUUUCUUUUCUGGAAAGAUUAAACUCUCUAGAGGCUGGUAAAAACAAAGAAAAUCAAGUACAUCAUCUUUCAUAUUCACAUCAACCCAUCUAUUGUGGAAAACAUCAGAAAUCAGCGUUUUCUCAUUCAGCUGAAAUAUUAUUUCUGUGCUAUUUCUAGACUGAAGAGACAAAUGUCGACGAAGUGAACACGUUUAAUAAUCACCCAAAGGAAAGAGAAAGACACUGAAAAAUCCAAAGCGCAAUCCUGCUCUUUGUCAGCCACCACUGCUGCUUCCAGAGAUGGCCGCUGGGAAGAGCAAAUGCUGGUUCCUGGGAGUCACAGAGCUAUGACAUUUCACCAGUAGCUGUCUCCUUGUCUCUCUCAAGUGAUUUUGUAUGUUUGCGUGGCUUUUUUUCCUGCUUCUUUUGUGACAAAGUGGGUAUGGAGAAGGACUAGACACAGAUGUCUAGGAACUGAGUGGAAGGAGGUCAACUUGUGUUGCUCCCAUGCCAUUUCACAAAAAGCAGAAAAAACAUCAGUUAAACACAGGUGACAGAGGGGGUAGGUGAUUGCUUGUGCUGACAGGUGGGUGGUCACUGCCCGUGUGUGAUUGUGUGGUCUGAAGGCUUUCCCAGAGCAAGCUUUUCUUUGGUGGGCCACAGGCCCUUUUCUGCAGUGGUGCACAUGCUCUGUGACUCCUGUUGAAAGCAGCAUGCACAGUUGAAAUGAGGUGCAAAAAGUUUAAUCAUUUGAUCUUUACCACUACCCAGUGAUGAUUUAACUGCUCCUGAGUAAACACUAAUACUUCAAAGAAUGCUUGUGUUAAUUUGGCCUUGGAAAAAAAGACAUGUAAGAUGCGUGACCUCUGCUGAGGCAUCUUUUGAUGUCCUACAUUAAUACUAGAUUUGAUGGCUGUUCUUUUUUCUGUCUCAAAGGAGGUCCUCAGCAAUGUUUUUUCUGCCUGCCUGCUGGCUCAGUUUCUUACUUGGGCUGAUGGUUGUGAAGUGAUAUGCAUUAGAGAGCAAAGCAGAGCCACUUUUUGUAAUGCUAUGAAUGAGACAGAGUAAAGUGUAGUAAAGUGUAGAAGAGAAAUCAGUUAUAUAUUCACAGGUAUAUGUCACAAGUUGUGCUUGAAAUGUGAGCAUAUCUUUCAAGAAGUUUAAGUUAAUAUUAUUAAGACGACCCUCCUACGUCUCUUCUUUGUGCGUCAACAUUUACUGAUGGUGUACUGGUGGUGCAUGUACUUGUAGU